CAGACAGACUGGUUUCCCUGUGCACUGGGUGUGGUGUAUAAAAUAGGGAAGCACAACCUUGACAGUGCUUGUUUUGCAGCUCAGCCUCAGAAUGAACAUUUGCGGCGCUUCUGCACAGAAAAAAAGCCAAGCCAUGAACCAGGUCCAAAUUGAAUACUGUGGCGGAUGAGGUUACUCUUCCCGCUACAGGGACCUGGAAGGAGCCCUCCGGCAGGUCCCUGGUCUGUCGGUGACGGGAUUCAAGGGAAGACAAAACAGUUUUGAGGUGUCACUGAACGGGCAGACGAUCUACUCCAAGCUGCAAACACACUCAUUUCCUGAUCGUGACCAGGUGGUAGCGAUGGUGAAGAAGAUUAUCCACGAAAAGAAGAAGUAAAGCCUCAGAGAAACAACUGGUCUGAAGAGAUCUGUAUUCACACUGCAAGAGAACGACAUGGUUUGUCUUCUGUGGUUCAGAGCUCAGUCUCAUCACGUCUGCUUAACAGAAGACCAAAAUUCAUUCAAACACCUUUCAGCUUAACUGUGGACCAUGAUCAACCGAGAAGAAGAGCCCAUGUGUUCUCUUCAUGGUGAAUACAGACAAAGACCAGGAGAUGAUGGGAGCCACACUGAGGAGCCGGGCACUGACUUCUGUUUAUGAUUGUAUACACUGAAAAACACGUGGUGUGUACAUGAUGCAGGGCUAGAAGCUUUUCAGUCGACAGGAGCCUGAGGAUGUGCUCUCAUCGUGUCUGUCUCUACUCACACGUAACAUUUCUUUAGCUGUCUCAAUCAAACACACUUAUUCCAUCGUCCGUUUUGUUCUGUUCAUAUAAAUCUAAAGGUCUCACGAGCUGAGGAUUCGAUUAAAAGAAUAGUUUGACAUUUUUAGAAAAAUGCUAUUUUGCCUUCUCGUCGCAAGAUGAGAAGAUUGAUACCACUGUCAUUUCUUGAAUAUAAAGCCAGUGUUAACAUCCAGUUAUUUAAAGCUCACAAACAUGUUAUAUCUUAUUUUUGAAAAUGACAAUUUGCCGGCAUUUGUUGGACUAUUUGUUGACUACCACUUAAUACCAAAAGUCUCUAGUGCUGGCCCAGGCUAAAAUAAGCCUCCUGUACAAUGGCUCAUAGUUUUACAGUUUGCUUUUUGUAUGGAUUAAACAAACAGGAUACAACAUGUUAUUUAGCUUGGACAAAGUCAGGGUAGCUGUUUCCCUUUGUUUCCAGUCUUUAUGCUAAGCUAAGCUAAACAGUCUCUGGCUCUAGCAUUGUAUUUAUUUCACGUGGCAGCGGUAUCUUCUCAUCUUGCUAACUCUUGGCAAGAAAGAAAAGAGUAUUCAAGAACAUUUUUCAAAAACUUUAAUUUGUGUUAUGUUGCAAACAGGAAAUGCACUUCAAAUUUCAGAUUCUUUAAAUAUUUGGCAUUUCCAUAACACCUUGAAUCACUUAGACCGAUCACGUCUUUAUUCCUUAGGAAGUUUUCACCUUUUUUGUUUUCCUUUGAUGAGACAGCUACUGCAAAUGUUCUGCCUUCUUUGUCACUGAUGAAAAUUCAUUCAAUGACAAAUGAUGAAUACAACAAAUAUACUUGCAAUAUCAAACACAGGGAUGCUGGAAGUCAGGCGGAGGUGGAGCUGUUGAGAGAAAGUCUAGGCUCGACAAUGCUGUCAUAUAAAACUGAAAUAUUUGACACCACUUUUAGAACAUUUCACUUCACAAAAAGCAGCAAACGUCAUCUGGGCAAUAGAUGGGCGGCACCAACAAUGCACCACAUAUUCUAAAAUGAAAUAUAUUAAUUAAAAUAAUCCAAAUUUUAAAAAAAGAUAGGUAUUUUACUAUUUCGCUUUCAAAAUGUUACUUUAGUUAACAACAAAAUAAAGUUAACUAAGGAAAAAACAUUUUUGCCAGUGAUGGUGCUGCAGUCCCCUCAACAACCCUACUUCCAGCAUCCUUGAAACAUAUCACAUAUCAAACAGUUUCUAAACAAUAAAUCAUCACUUUCAACAACAAUUCAUUCCAUUUUCCACAAAUGCAAUAAAAGAUUAUGGAUUCA